CAAACAGGCACUACUUGCUCUGUCCACGCUGUCUCAAAACACAAGCAAACCUGUCUGUCCAUUUGCGGAGGGUAUGCUUGAAGGAUGGCUCUGAUGCAGAUGUUAAUGCCAUUGUUGACAAAGCAAAGCACGAUGCAGCUGAGCUCCUACAGAAAGGCAGAAUUUUCAAAUAUUCAGAUCUCACUGCAAUUACGUCAGAUGAAAAUACACUCAAAAGACUGGUUGAGGAGCUGAAACGUCACCAUUUGGUUGUGACUGGAGAACCCUGCCCCCCGGCAGAAGCCAACACCGAGCCGUUAGCUGCUCAGACACUGCCCAAUGAUGAUGAUGCUGAAGUAGGACCAUCAGCUGCUGCAACGUCUUCUUCAGAGGAAAGCAGCUCUGCUGCCUUAGGCGAGGGAAACAACUGUGACUCUUCCAGGGAGAGUGCGAGUAGCAGUAGUCCCAACAGAAAGACCCGUUCUGGUACUGCUGCCAAGUCAAAGUCAGAAUCAGCAUUUGACAUCCUACAAAAAAAGUUUCCUGUAACAAUUGCUGGGCCUAAACCACACCGGUCCACAUCCACUAGGCCAACCACGAGCCUUCUUGAGUGUCAUCAGGAGUUUCCUGAUGACAUGGCUGAUGAGGCUCCUGAUGAAACUAAAGAAAACAUUAAAGGAGCAAAGUAUUCUGCAGCUGUGAAGCAAUCCAUGUAUGAAAAAGGCCUUUACAAUAGACAUUCUCUGGAUCACCCACUUCUUCAAGCCUUCGCCAUGCACCUGAACAAAGAAAAAAACAUUCAAAACUACAAACAGGAGGUUGAAAAUGUUUCCCGGUUUCUAUAUUUUGUUAACAACGAGGAAGCAUCCCUGCAGUUUGUCUAUCAGAGACAGAAACUGGAUGUUUUCCUCAAGGAAAUCACUGGCCUGACUAAGAGAACACAGUCAAAUUACCUCAAGUCCUUGAAAAGAUUCUUGAAUUUUCACACGGACAGAACCAACCUUCAUAGUAUGGAUGCAGACCUCCAUGAAGAGUGCACAGAAUAUAGUCGUGUCCUCAAAUCUACGCUGAGACUCCUGAGCAAGCAGGCAAAGAAGGAGAUCUUCCAAAAAAGGCACGCCUUUCUGAUGGACGAAAAUGCGUUGACAACUGAAGACUGUCAGGUUGUAUUGGUCCAGGCCAAGGACCCAUUCUUGGCAUGUAUAGAUAAACUGUCUAAAGAUGAUGCUGACGUAUUGGAUUCUACAGAUGAAACGCUUGUGUUGUACUACCUUGAAGCUGUUGUGAUUCUAGGACACGUUCAAAGGCCGAGUGUCGUGCAGAACAUGACUGUGAGUGAGUGGUUAUCCAGGGACAAAGCCAUCUCAAAAGAGACAGGUGAGCCACUUUGGGUAGUCGGAGUAAAGGAACACAGGACAUCAACGCAACAGGUGGCGACAUUUGCG